CGCCACGAGUCGAAUGGUUUGUCUCCAAAGGGCAGCGCCUCCCUAUUGGUCAGUCGCCCCCUGACGUCACAGGCGCACCGCUUCUACUGGCGUGUGCGCUGCUUGCGGAGUUCUUCGCCUACCUUAAGCAACUACAAGCUCAGCCCAGAGCUGCAACCUGGGGCCGCCCGGAGUUAAAGGGGAGCAGCGGUGGAGGGAGGCGCCCGGUAGGCUGCAGACGCAUCCCAUGGAAGCUCCAACCCUGUAUCCUAGAGCCCUUGUUUCCAGGAUUGGAGACUUUGGAAUAGCCUGGCUGGAGGCUGAUCUCUUACAAUUCAUUUGCACCCUUUCAGGUUGCUUGUGUUCAGAAGCAGUGGCCCUAGCAUUUAAAGUCAGACCCCCUCACUUGACCUUCCCCCUCCCUCAGGAUCCCAACUCUACUCUCCUCCCAAGGGAACACCUUGGCACUGUGGGUUUUUCCAGAAGUACUUUCUUGAAGCCAUAGAGGGAAGAAAAAACCCUACAUCUGGGCUUCAUCUCAUGGCAGGGGUCGGGGGUAGUAGAGAAAGAAAAAUCAGACCCUGCUCUGGCGAGAUUCCUGCUGUUUUAGGCCCUAUUUCCUAUAUGUUGACCCCCCAAUAAAGGAGGAACACCUCCCACCCCCAGAACGCAGCAGCCUGCUCUGAAAGCGAAUCCUUGGAGGGCUGACAGUAAUGCAUUUUUUUUUCCUAUUGAAAACAGAAGCUACUGUAAUGCUUUCAAAUAUAUGCAAAUGAUACAUGCGGUUAGUGGUUUGGCAAAUCUUGAUUACAAUAUAAACUACCCAAGUAAAAGUGCCUUCGUCCUAAAUUUGUCUCUCGAUUACAAUUCCAAUUGAUUUUAUUUUAUUGUCAACAUUGUUAAUGAUAAAAAUAGAGUCGUUUUACAGUUAUUUUUACUUUCUGGAAGGAGGCAAUUAGAGUUCUAAUCAGGAAUACACAAAAAAAUCUCCCAUGAUUAACUGCAGCACUUUGUUCAAAUUGCUGCUAUAAAAUUCAGAACAAUUUGCCUGUAAUGAUCAUGGACUGGGUUUAUUUUGGGAGGUGGAAUAAAAGUGGAUAUAGCAUAAAUUAUCCUCUAAUUAUACACCAGUGUCGCCUCAAUUAUCCUCUUAUCAAAAUGGUUGUCUAACUGCCGCAUUUAGUUUCAAUUCUCUCCUUUUUUUCUAUAAAAAGAACUUCAUACCUUGUUAUUAUUAAUCCAUUUAUUAUUUGCAAGGGGGUUUAUAUCCGCACAUCCAGGUGGUAGCACCACUUCUGUUUCAAAGAUGGACUGGGGAAAGACAUUAAGUUUGGAGCAGCUCAGUACAACGGAUCUAGCCUUUCUCCCUCGGGUCUCCAGACUCACUUAGGUCCAAGCUGCGGAGCAGGGACAACGGAGCCCAGGCGGCCACCUUCAGGCCCAGCCACCAGGGCUUUUCUGUGCAGCCCUAGCAGUCCAGAAAUCUUACUUCACAGCCUGACCUCGAAUUCAGAAACCUGCCUGCCUCUGGCCCCCAAAUGCUGGGAUCAAAGACCUGCACCAUCACACCUGGCUGUUUUGGUUGGAGAUCAGAGCAGCCAGAGUCUGAGAUUUUUCAUCCUUGAUUUUCCAGCUGCUGAGAACCAGAGGGAAACCUCCUCCCAGAAGAACAUUUCCAUACACUGCUUCCCCACUGCUGUGGAGUCCCCUGAACACUGGUCCCUGGACACCAACUUCAAGAAGACUUCGUGAUGGCUGUCCAGUCUUAUGAACCACAGUUUUCCCUGUGUGUUUUCUCCAGUGAUGCUCUCAUCUGGGUCAGAUUAGAGAUGAACCAGCUGGAGAACAGAUUGGAGCGCUGACCUCUUAGAGUGCUAACAGUCAACAGUUUGCUGUCAGACCCAUAGAGAAAUAAUAAAAAUACGUUCCAUGCAAGGGAGUGGGAUGUUUAUAAUUCCUUAAAGGCUGAAAUCAAGGAACAAUCAAAAUAUAGAGGAAUGCGGACUUGUUUUACUGCAGGAUUUUUGUUUUGUCCCUACUGGGAUACAUAUUCUGGUGUUACUACUGCAUCAGGACUCAGGCAAGGCUAUGUAUUCUAGUGGUGCUCCUACUUAGCUCUUGUGCUUUAGUAAGAGACACUAACUCAUUAGACUUGGUAUUACUGAUCUGCACUGUAGGUCUGCACUCACGACCUGGGAGAUAUUGGCAAUGAUUCUCUUAUAUGAUAAAGGUCAAUGAUAAAAGUACUUCAACUCCCCUCGAACUUUUUGUUUGUACACCAAGUGAUGACACUGUGUAUUGAACUAAUUAGAUCAGUGGAGUUACAGGGUGAUACUGACCUCUAAAAAUAUUUGGCUGAAACCUGGCAUUGCUAGUUAUCUGUAGAAGAGGACGAUAUGGAACAUGCAAACAUCACAAAACAUGGGAUUACUGGUCAGACUUGGAAACCCAGCAACCAGGCAAGUUCAGCAUAGAACCUGCAGAAACUAGCAGCAGGUAGACAUGGUUCCUUUUCCAUGGAUCUUACAACCAAAUGUCCCUGUAGAAAGCAGAGGCUAUCAUGUGUAUGUGGCCACACAGAUGUUCUUGAGCACAGCCUCUAGUCAGUGGGAGAGUUCCUACUGCUGUAGGCCAUGGCUGUCUUCUCUAAGCCUGAAUUUUACAAACACUUUGUGAACCUGGACUGCUUUUCUUUAGCAAGCCUUGAAAAGUUCCAGGAUGUCAGGGAAGUGUCUUGGGGUUGGCAGGGCUUCUAGGGAGGGAAAUAUUAAAUGAUUUGGACCAGAAAAGAAAAAGGGGAUGGGGUUCAGAACCAACAAUUACCUCUAUUCUAUGUAGGAAACAAUAAUAUGAAAUACGCUGGGCACGGAAACUUUGAUACUAAAACUUGGUUUUUGUCCCUUUUAAAAAGUAAUACUUAAAAAGCUAUGUGGUUGUAGGCAAGCCAUUUCCCAUCCCCUGUGGAUGUCUCCUGAAUGACUCUAAACCUGUUCUAGUUCUCAAAGGCCUUUAACAUAAGUCCCCAGGCUACAGUGGCCACUUUAAAAAUACCCUCCCUAUGGUUGUUAGGUCUUAACGUUUCCAGCAGUUACAUAAACAUUUUUAUUUUUGAGGGAGGGUCUAUUCUUAUCAACUUUUAAAAAACACACAUCCGGUUCUUUUCUGGAAUUAAGAAGAUGCAAACUCCAAGUCCCCUGCCUUCCAUACUGCCUGCCUUUCUUCCUGUUCGUCCCUUAUUCCCAUCCCUGUUGAGUUUGUGCUAUGCACUGCAUCAGGUAUACCCUAGGUUUGGAGAUACAGGAUAAACCUGACUCAGAGGGGUCUUCCCUUUCUCUUCUGGUGCUUUCUUUGGAGGGAGUCUGUUGUAUCUAGGCAGACUGUGCUGUGGCGCCCCUGAGGUAACCACCCAGGCGCUUCAUUCUGCCUAAGCAAUUUCGUUGUGCACUAAGAUACACAUCCCAGUAACUGUCCAGAUUACCACAAGAACUUUCUCCAAAUAUAAGGAAGAGGGAGAUUUUACUUCUGAGAUGUGUGUAUGACAACCCUCCAUCCUGGGAAGAACACUGAAUACUGCCUGCACCUCAUCCUAGCCUAAGGAGUGAGAGUGUUUUCCUGUAUCAUCCCGGUGGAUUGCUACUUCUUUAAGAAGGAAUGGGAAAAACACCAAACAGACAAACAUGUUAUCACAAAUUCAGUCUGACCUCAUUGGAAAUCCUUUUAAAAAUUAAUCAUUUCUAUCUCUUCAUUAUCAACAAAUCUACUGAAUACUUCUCUCUUGAGUCCAGGGCAUAUUUUAUAAUACAUAAAACAAUGAAAUUUCAAAUUCAGAGCACUGACAUAUACUAUUCGUUUUGAGUAUUUUUAUUAUAGGGAAUGACUUUAGACAUUCCAAUUUAUGACUUAAGUGGUAAAAUGGAUAGCUCUUGACUUUCAACUUUCCUUUUCAGUUCAGGUCAAGGAAUAGCUACCUCCAGGUAAUGUCUACACUUUCCUAUGACUAAGGACUCUAACUAUUUCUGUUGCCUUUCUUUAUGCAGGCAUAUGUUAGCAUUUCUUUUCUAUGUGACAAAUGUACUAAAGAGAGUAUAAAAUUCAUGAGAUAAGCUUUUUGGAUAGGAAUUUAGAAAAACAAGGAGUCCAGAUAAAUGAGUGAAAAAUCAACUUAAAUAAUCAACAUAUCCAAGAUAUGUAUUGGAAUAAAUGUCUAUUGUACCAUUUUGGUUUUGUCUUGUUUUCUAUUUUUGUUCUUAUUGAUGAUGAUGUUGUUUGUUUGUUAUUUGAGAAAGAACAGAAGGUUGGGUGGAUAGGAAGGUAGAGAGGAUCUAUCUGGAUGGAGUUGGGAGGAGGGAAAAGUACAUGAUCAAAUGUAUUUUAUGAUGGGUGGAGCAUAGUGGUGUAUGUCUUUAAUCCCAGCACUCAGGAUGCAGAGGCAGGUGGAUCUCUGUAAAUUGGAGGCCAGCCUGGUAGACAAAGGAAGACCAGAACAGGGCUCUGUUACACAAAGAAAUCCUAUUUCAAAUAUAUAUGUGUGUGUGUGUGGGGGGGUGUUGUGUAAUUUUUAACUAAAACUGUUUAUCUUUUGAGAUAGUCACAGGUAACCCAAACUGGUCUUGUGACUGGUAUAAACACACACAGUUAAUGUUCAGAUCCUGUAGGUAGCAUGCCUCCCUUUGUGGAGAAGGCACCAUUCCUCCCUCUGUGGUGCAGAAGUGGAAUCAGUAAACCCAUAGAAUUCCAACCGUUCUAGUGAAAACGUUCUGCUGAGCACCUCACACUUCCAAGUGUGAAGCCUUUUGUGUGAAAGCUCCGAGCAUCUGAGUGCUAGCCCUGUGAAGGUAUGUAUGUGUGAAUGGUCUGGUGUGUUCUACUUCCAGCCAUUGACCUUGAAGCAACGUCUAUGUUUUCUUUAUCCUUCAAGAGAAAGAAAAAUAUUUUUUUUCCAAGCAAUUAAGACUCUUCUGCUUCAGGUAGGAUAGAAGAAUUAGGAGUUGUGUUUCAUUGUAUAUAAUUGCAAGUUUCAUCUUUCUUGCUUUAAUGAUUGACAGAAAACUGAUAAACCGAGACAUCUUCUUAUGAGGGUUGAAUGUACUCUCUUGGUGGCCCCAUUACUAAUUUGUUUGACUAUUUUCUACGAUUUCUUACUCUGUAAUGGAAAGGUUUAUUAAAUAUGAGGGUUGCAAAGCUUUCUGAAUACUAAUGAACUUAUUUGCCAAAAUUUAAAUGUUCUUCUUGUCAGUGAAUGCCUGUCUCGCUUAACAGGAACCAAAUUGAAUAAUGAAGAAAAUUAGACUCUAUCGUACCCUCAAGAGAAAUCGUGUGUGAAUUGUAAUAGAAAAUUGAGGGAGAAAAGGGUCAUAUUGUAGCAAUAACACUAGAUAAUUUGGAUUAUUUUAAAAAAGGAUGAACUUAGGAAAGCUCAGGUCUUUUCAAGGAUACACACAUUCGGUUAAUUCAUGCAAAACGUUGGUUUCACCUCAACCCAGGCAGUCUAUACCUAUUCCCAGUUUAUAGUAAAAGGAACCCAGAUAAGUGGGAAACGCAUGCCAGGUUUCUGUGCUUACAAUCCACUAAACUCAUUCUCAUAUAAGGACUUUAUAUACCUGCGAUGGAAAGGGAAAAUCAAUAGCCUUGAAAAAUGAGCACCGUUUUUCAGAGAAGUUCGAUAAAGAGAGGGAAUUUGGGAAAUUGCUGCAGUUCUUCCUAUAAGCAUAAGACAAUGAGUCUGUCCUCUUUCUGGAGCGUUUAAUCCUAUCAUCGUGGUGUUAUGGCUAAUGAAGUACAUGAUCUUGAUGUCUUUCCUUUACUAGCAUCCAGGGGCAUCAUGGGAACAACAUGGCUGCCCCUGGACUAGGGAAACUGGGCGGGGGAAAUUCAGCAAGCAUACGAACUGCGAAGGAUAGUUAGGCUUAAACACAGGCUGUGUGUGGAGUAAAAUCAAGCAGCUAAGGGGCAGAGAAUGAAAAUGGAAAGGUGACAAGGACCACAGAUGAAAAAUUGGACCUUUUCCUCCUGACAGGAAUCUAGGAAAGGGACACAUUUCACUGCGGGAGGCUCUGGAGGCCGAGAAAAUAAUAAAAUGGAAAAUAACGAAUGUCUUCAGGGUAAAAACAAACUUUUCUGAGACUUCAAACAAACAAACAAACAAACAAAGGAAAGGAAAGGAAAGGAAACUAAAAAGGAAGGUCAAGACCCUCAAAGACUGGAGCUCUUAAAGAAAGCAAAACAUGCAAACUGGAAAGCUAAAUGCUAUUCCAAGACAACAAUGAACAGGACCAGAAAACGUGAGGAAAGCGAGAUUUGUGUGUAGGGCUUGUUUUUCAACCCAGGAAAGGAAGGGUUAUGGCACAAACAACUUUUGGAUAUGAUGCUGGGCUUCAUCCCCAAAGAAGAAAAAAAAUGGCUGAUUUAUCUUAGAGCAGUACUAUGUUACACUAUUUUAUCUGGGGGUGGGGACAGAUCUCUUUUAUUGCCCUUGAUGAGAUUAAACAAAAUAAAACAAAACAAAAAGCCUAGAUUGUUUAUGUGGGGAAGGCUUUUGAGUUACAAAAUCUCGAUUUUUUUCCACCUAAAACGAGAAUUGGGUUUCUACAAUUAACUGAAUAAACGGAAGGAGAGGAACAGAUUUUUACCUGUAUCAUUUCAGCUCCUAGCCGGCUCUGAUGGAAAUAACGAAUUUAUCAAGUAGAGAGGGAGGCAGAGGAGGAAGAAGACAAUGGCACACAGGAACGGUUGCCUGUCCAGUAAGAUGGUCCAAUUUGUGAGAAAAUCAAAUGAACAAUCAAGUUUGAAGGACAUGUUCGAGAAGGAGUGUGAAAUAAUAAGAUAUUUAGAAGGGAAAAUUACUUGGGAAACAGUGAAUGAUGAAUUACAUGGGAGAUGAUUAAGGAUUGGGGAAGGCAGGGGGGAGGGAUAAUUGAAAUGGGAAGCAGAGGGUGACUAAGUGGCUGCGAAAGGGCAAGUUCAGACUCUGCAUGGCGACCUAGCAACCUCUAGGGAAGGUUCGAGAGCUGGAAUAUAACGGUGGAAAAGACCAAAACAAUCCAUGGUUCCCGCGAAAAGUCGAGAACAAUAGACGGAGCAGUAGCGGUGAGUGUCAUCCCUUAGGAAUGAAAGCACAUCAGGAGGAAUGCAUUAGUCUAUAUUCUCCAUUCGUUUAUGAGUAGACUGUUCCUCAUCUCCCUUUGUAACAGGCCGGCUUAUAAAAUGAUUGCUAUUAGAAAAGGUAAGCAUUGCCAGGGAAGUUAAGAAAAGAUCCCCAUCUAGAGAAGCUGAAGCAGGGGGUCCAUGAACAAGCCCCUUCACAGCCUUUAAUAUGAGAUUUCCAAAUUGAGCAUCCCAGAAAAGACGGAGAGAUCAGUUAUUCGAACAGAAGUGUAAGGAGGGAGGAGGGAGGAAGUUGAAACUGCUGUAAAUACUUGAUUUUCCUACAACAUUCUCCCCAUCCACAAAAACGAUUGCCAUACACUACAAAGCUUUUGGAUAUUGUUUGAAACACUUAUGUGA
ensembl:lncRNA